rnacentral:rRNA from 1 species
AUGAUGAUUUUUCUUAAUGGGAGUGAUGACGAGGUUGACGUAGGUCCCAUGGGUAUUCCUCUACCAAGAUAUGGCGACAACAGGGUGAUAUGGACCUUUAGCGGAAGCUGCAUGUCCAUGCAUCAUAACCAAUCCAAGGUGGCAAGCAAGCUAAGAUCUACUGAGUUGUUUUUCUAUUGCUCUAUCGAAAAAUUGACAAGCUCACAGUUUCGUGGAUUGCUACAUCAACAAGCUGGUAGCAUAGUUGCUUGCAACCCAUGUAGGUUGGACAUUGACCAAAAAAUUAUUGCAGAUUGCUGUCUCUACGAGUUAUUCCUACACUAUAUUUUCCACACCAUCACUAAAUUUGAUUGGGUUUCUCAUGCUUCUAACUAUUGGAUAUGCGAUGGGAUCAUACAAUGGGAAAGAGCAAGGGAUAUUAGUAAUGCAUUGCAUCUAGAUAUAAAUUUGAAGUGUGACGCUUCUCUGCUAGAUCAUGUUCUUAAAAUGUUCAUGGAACAUUCAGAGUCUCCUUUUUUGGCAAUUAAAGAUGGCGAUCUCUAUGAAGAAGGCCCAUACCGUUGGAUUUCGGUCACGUCGAGAGAUGCAGAAGUACAUGGGAUGAAAGCAAUACCUGCAGAGGCGUCAUCUUUCUUCUUGGCAUUUGAAAUAUCCAAUCCCCCAAGAGCUUUACCAGGUGGAUUUUUUGAUUAUUGCAGCAAGCUUGGCGUUCUAACGCUUUAUUGUUGUGCGUUCAAUUUUGCUUCACCUUCUUUCCUGAAGUGUCAUGGUCUAAGAUUCCUUGGACUGGACCACUGUACAAAUGACAAAACAAUUGAAGGAGAACAUAAUACAGACUGGUUAUUUUUGUAUAGCUUGUGGGUCCUGGAUCUACGAUACACAAACUGGAAUGAAAUCUUAUCUGAAGAAAAGAUGGAUCUCAUGACCAAAAUCAAAGAGCUAAAUAUAGAGGGAGUCAUGGGUUGGCAGUGCAUAGCACACCUACAACGCCGGUUACCUAACCUCCAGAGGCUCCGGAUAAUCAAAACAGCAUGUGAAUGGGAGACAUCAGAUGAUGUCGAUAACUUCUUUAUAGAUAAGACAAGUAUGGAAAUACUGGACUUGUCUGGCAAUUGUGGCAUGAACAUUCUACCAAGAAGUCUAUCAAAGGCAAGUAGCCUCCGGUUGCUUGUACUUGAUGGUUGUGAUGGACUGGAAAGCAUUGGUGGGCUUCCUCCCUCCCUCGAAUCCUUUAGCUUUAAUGGAUAUGGGCCAGCUUCUCAGUGGACACAGAGUGUUGAGGUACCUCAGGAACAAUUUCGUCCAUCCAGCUCAACAAAUAAGAAUGAUGUCAUAAUAUCCAAGAUCUCCUUAGCAGGCUGCACACGAUUGGGAAAUAUUUUCUUGUGUUGGCUACCAAACCUCGUGGAAUUAGACCUCUCUGGAACAUCAAUCAAGAUACUUGACUUCAAGACUAUGGUGGUGCAAAUCCCAUGGCUCAAGCGACUGUUUCUAAUAGGAUGCAAGCACCUUCGUGCAAUAAGGUUUUUGCACGAGAGUGUUUCUGACUUGGAGUUGAUGUGCGUAGACACGCGAGCUGGAAUCGUGUGUCCUCGACCAUCCAUCAGCAAAAAUAAACCUUCCAGGUUGCAGGUGCAUGCUGUUUUUGUGGAUGCAAGGUUUACUCGCUCCUUGUGGCAUUUGAUAUGUAAUUCUAGACAAGUUGUUCAUCUUAAUAUUCGCAUCACCUCCUCACCUGCCUGCGAUGGGACUAUUCAAUUUGAAACAACCAGGAAGGAUAUUAUUGGCACCAGUGAGCAAGAGAGCCUGCAUCUUAUUUCAGCAAGCCGGUACAAUGAUGUCCUUGGGAUGGUUGGCGCUGCCCCAAUGCAGGCCUUUCCACAGCCUCCUACUACAAAAUUUGAUCAACAUGUAGAGAUUGCUGAAGGAAGCUUCUAUGUGGAGAGGGAACUUGAGAAAGAACAUGUACGCCGACUGAUGGGGACAUAUGUGGAAUCCCUGCAUGUGCAUGAUGUCUUGGUACGUGCUAUUAUGCCUCAUGAAUGUUGUUGGCACAAGCUAAGAUGGUGCUGCGUGGAGAGGUGCCCAAAAGUGGAUACCGUUUUCCCACGGAACUCAUUCUCAUUUACUGCAUUGGAGACCUUAUGCGUGUCAGAUCUCGUAAUGGCCCGCUGGAUUUUGAAUAAAGGUUCACACUUAAAUCAAUAUGGUGAACGUGAUAUCAGUUCCUUCCAAAAUUUACAGCACCUUCAGCUGCAUUCAUGCCCCAGCCUCCAGUUCGUGCUCCCGUUAUGGGUCUCCUCCUUCCCCUUCUUGGAGACCAUCCACAUCAUCCACUGCGGUGACCUCAGCCACGUCUUCAUACUGGACGAAGAGUACCCUGAAGAAAUAACUACCCAUGGUGUACCAUUCCCGAAACUGACCACCAUCCACCUGCACGACCUCCCGAAGCUGCAACAGAUAUGCGAGGUCAAGAUGGUGGCCCCUGCGCUCAAGAGCCUCAAGAUCAGGGGAUGCUGGAGCCUGCGCCGGCUGCCAUCCGUGGGGGCCCGUGGCCAUGGCAGGAAGAAGCCGACCGUCGAGAUGGAGAAGGACGUGUGGGACGCUCUGGAGUGGGACGCGGACCACCGCCCCGAGCACUUCGAGGCGCCGAUCCACUCACGCUACUACAAGGAGAAACUGCCCAGGGUCUCCGUCCUCAGGUGA